rnacentral:misc_RNA from 1 species
GUUGGUGAACCAGCGGAAGGAUCAUUACAGAGAUCAUGCCCUUCGGGGUAGACCUCCCACCCUGUGUUAUUUACUCUUGUUGCUUUGGCAGGCCGCCUUCGGGCUCCCGGCUUCGGCUGGGGCGUGCCUGCCAGAGGACCCUAACUCUGAAUCAUAAACGUGUCGUCUGAGUACUAUAUAAUAAGUUAAAACUUUCAACAACGGAUCUCUUGGUUCUGGCAUCGAUGAAGAACGCAGCAUCUGACUGACU